rnacentral:lncRNA from 12 species
AGUUUCUGUGUUUUAUUGUGUUCUUCAGCUGUGUUCCAGCAGGCUUGCAAUCAUCUAUUUUAUAAGUCUAAACCUGGAUUCUGAACAAUCAAUCAGUACAAGGCUUUCCCUGUCCCCAGCCUCUAGUGGAUGUACACUGCAACCAUUGCUUUGACCAAGGGACAUCGAAAUUUCAACAUUCAAGUCCCAUCACUGGAUCUAUGAGAGGUAAUAUCUUUCUACUUUUAUCCUCUUUCUUUCUUUCUUUCUUUCUUUCUUUCUUUCUUUCUUUCUUUCUUUCUUUCUUUCUUUCUUU